rnacentral:rRNA from 1 species
AGAGUUUGAUCCUGGCUCAGAGUGAACGCUGGCGGCGUGCUUAACACAUGCAAGUCGAACGAGAACGGGAUAUAGCUUGCUAUAUUUGUCAGCUAAGUGGCGCACGGGUGAGUAAUGUAUAGGUAAUAUGCCUCUUACUAAGGGAUAACAAUUGGAAACGAUUGCUAAUACCUUAUAUGCCUUUAAGACUAAAGUCUGCAAGGGAAAGAUUUAUUGGUAAGAGAUUAGCCUGUAUUGUAUCAGCUAGUUGGUGAGGUAAUGGCUCACCAAGGCUAUGACGCAUAACUGGUUUGAGAGGAUGAUCAGUCACACUGGAACUGAGACACGGUCCAGACUCCUACGGGAGGCAGCAGUGGGGAAUAUUGCACAAUGGACGAAAGUCUGAUGCAGCAACGCCGCGUGGAGGAUGACACAUUUCGGUGCGUAAACUCCUUUUAUAUAGGAAGAUAAUGACGGUACUAUAUGAAUAAGCACCGGCUAACUCCGUGCCAGCAGCCGCGGUAAUACGGAGGGUGCAAGCGUUACUCGGAAUCACUGGGCGUAAAGAGCGUGUAGGCGGGUAAAUAAGUCAGAAGUGAAAUCCAAUAGCUCAACUAUUGAACUGCUUUUGAAACUGUAUACCUAGAAUGUGGGAGAGGCAGAUGGAAUUUCUGGUGUAGGGGUAAAAUCCGUAGAGAUCAGAAGGAAUACCGAUUGCGAAGGCGAUCUGCUGGAACAUUAUUGACGCUGAGACGCGAAAGCGUGGGGAGUAAACAGGAUUAGAUAUCCUGGUAGUCCACGCCCUAAACGAUGUACACUAGUUGUUGUGAGGCUUGACCUUGCAGUAAUGUAGUUAAUACAUUAAGUGUACCGCCUGGGGAGUACGGUCGCAAGAUUAAAACUCAUCUUCACUUACAAAAACAGUACCACUGACAGCUACUGUAACGAUAAAAUUUGAUGGAACAAAAGUAUUGCCACCUACUAUUUUAACAAGCAUAAACGAUGCACUAUUUGAUGCGAGUGUAAUUGCUGUCAGUGGUACUGUUUUUGUAAGUGAAGAUGAGUUUUUGAUUUUCAAUUUGACAGGAAUAGAAGUUACGUCUCAAAAUGGUAAUUUACCAAAUGGUGUUUAUAUUGUUAGAUUAUCAAAUGGAGCAGCUAAGAUAAUAGCUUUGAGGUAAUAGAAUAUACAGUGAACAGUUAAAAAAAGGUGUAAUGUGUAUUGAACUGUACCCCAAAAGUUAGACAAAAAACUUUUGGGGUAUUUUUAUGAAAAAACUUAAGCGAAAAAAUCUGAAGCACAAUUAUUCAGAUAAGAUUAGGGUUGUUAAACUCUACAAUCACGGUUAUGGUUCAAUCCAGAUUAGUAAAUUAUUGCAUAUUAGCGAUACUGUUGUAGAAACCUGGCUUCGUAUUUAUCGAGCCAAAGGAGUUCUGGGAUUUGAAAAGCCAGCCAAGCAGAUCUUAAGUAUUGAUUUAAAAGAGCAGGUAGUGCGGGAUGUAUUAGAAAAUUUAUUAU